rnacentral:rRNA from 1 species
ACACAUGCAAGUCGAGCGGUAACAGAAAUUAGCUUGCUAAUUUGCUGACGAGCGGCGGACGGGUGAGUAAUGCCUGGGAAUAUGCCUUAGUGUGGGGGAUAACUAUUGGAAACGAUAGCUAAUACCGCAUAAUGUCUUCGGACCAAAGAGGGGGACCUUCGGGCCUCUCGCGCUAAGAUUAGCCCAGGUGAGAUUAGCUAGUUGGUGAGGUAAGAGCUCACCAAGGCGACGAUCUCUAGCUGGUCUGAGAGGAUGAUCAGCCACACUGGAACUGAGACACGGUCCAGACUCCUACGGGAGGCAGCAGUGGGGAAUAUUGCACAAUGGGCGAAAGCCUGAUGCAGCCAUGCCGCGUGUAUGAAGAAAGCCUUCGGGUUGUAAAGUACUUUCAGUAGGGAGGAAAGGCGUUGUCGUUAAUAGCGGCUUCGUUUGACGUUACCUACAGAAGAAGCACCGGCUAACUCCGUGCCAGCAGCCGCGGUAAUACGGAGGGUGCGAGCGUUAAUCGGAAUUACUGGGCGUAAAGCGCAUGCAGUGGUUCAUUAAGUCAGAUGUGAAAGC